rnacentral:tRNA from 2 species
CGGGGUGUAGCGCAGUCCGGUUAGCGCGCCUGCUUUGGGAGCAGGAGGUCCCUGGUUCGAAUCCAGGUACCCCGA